GGUCAUUGGUUAGAGAGUUAUUCAAGAGGUUGUUAAACAUGGAGUUCUGACUUGAUGAGGACAUGAAACCUGUUUUGGAUAACAACUUCUAUAUUGUCUGUCUUGUCUAUCUUGCUGAGUUUGUUUUUAC